rfam:Gaeumannomyces graminis var. tritici R3-111a-1 unplaced genomic scaffold supercont2.3, whole genome shotgun sequence.
GGUUGUAUAGCGCAAUGGUAGCGCGCUUGCUUUUGUAGCGGAAAGUUUUGGGUUUAAUUCCCGGUACGACCU